ensembl:lncRNA
CACACACUCACACACUGCUCAACACUCUCCAGCUACCAGGCAAAAGGGAGGUUCUUUCUUCCACCACACUGGUCAUUUAGUUUGUCACUGGAUCUCCCAACUUAAUGGCGUUUGGGCUGCUCUAAGUGUUUGUUUGUUUGUAUUGUGUCCCUCUGUAGUUGGAAAUUCCUCGUGGGGAGAGCUGCGCGUCAUCGGAGUGCUACUUGGGAGCGUUCCUGGUGGACGGACCAGCGCAGAACCGUCUCCACGCUUGAAAGUGACAAAGCGGGUCCCUACCACACUGGCCGGUAGCGACUUGCUGUCUGGAUUGUAUACUGGAUUGGGAUGACUCCUCUUUGGUAAUAUGGACAAAACUAAGCUGCACAAUGAGCUGAAGAAGAAGCUGGAGGAUGAACUGAAACGUCUAAGGGAUCGUUUAGAGCCAUGUUACGGUGAACUGGAGACGUGCCUCUCAGAUGGAGUUAAAAAGUCAGAGAAGAAAUGUGCUAAAAUAAUGAAGAAAAACAUGGAUGUACCAGCAGAAAGAGAUGGACGUGGAUACCAUCAGACUCUAUCAUUCUUGUGCAGAAAUGAAGGUUACUUCAGGUCAAAUGAUGGAGAAAUGAGACCUGAACGAGUCUCUGGCUGAGAUUAUGCAUGAAAGCAUCAAUGAAAAGUUUGAUGCCUUGUUCCCAAAUGAAGGGGAAACCAGCCAGUCAGUGCAGGCGAAGGUCAAACAAUUCAGUGUCUGCUCGAUCAGAGUCGAUGAGGGCUACAGCAACCCUGCAGCAAUGAAACUUUUUCUGAGGUUCUUAAAAGCUGAGGUAAGUGAGAGUGUUUACACCACUAUCUCUAUGGUAAAUAUAUCACCAUUUCGAAACUUCUAGUAAUGUUUUAUUGGUACUCUCUAGUACUUGCACCAUUGCACAAACCUACACUUUUACUCCAACACAAGGAGUGCAUAACGAUGCAUUAUGUUGCCAUUUUGCUAGAAUGUGUGUACUGAAAGUGAAAAACUAAAAAUUUUAUAAAAUUGUGAUGCAAGAUACUAAGGGAAAAUAAGGGAGGAAAAUGGAAAUCCACGUCUCUUAAAACACUGACACUUUUCACAGUCUCACAAAAAAAAUGUUGAGGCUCUGAAUGGAAGCGUUUCUUUUUUUAACUGGAAUUUGGUGUUACUUUAGUAAUGCUGAUUAAUAGUUUAGCCAAAAAAAGAAACCACUGAUGUUUUCAAAAUGUACUAUUGUUUUCUGAAUGCAAUAUUUAAUUGAUUUUGCAUGAAAAUAUACAGGAAGCCAAGCUGAAACGUAUGAGAUAUGGAGAGAUUGUGCAACAAAAGAUGGAAAUAUAUGCAUCAAUCACAGAUACCAGAUGGUUCCUGGCUACAACAGUAAUUCAGUGGAAUUGUGGUUAAUUCCAGAAAGACUUAUUUGAAGAGUUAUGUGAUUAUGUAAUUUCGGUAAUAUAAACCAAAUGUUGCUUGUUUGGCUGCAGAGGCUGAAGAAUGUGUUGGAACGAGAUCCAUGGCGGGGAAGCAGAGAAUACUGAUACAACACACUGAGUCACUAAAGGGUACCAUGUUCAAGAAAGCAAAGGACGAGAUGCUGACUGUUCACAGAUCUGACGGUUUGUUCACUUUUACAUGUGAAGUUCAAAAAUUCAGUUACUCAGGUGAAUCGAUUAUUUCGAGAAUC